GCAGUGUAUGAAAGGAGAGAAAGUUAGCUCUCCCCUUGACAAGGAUGGAAGAGGCCCUUGGGGCCUGACAACACACAUAAGGUUAAGGCAUUGACACCUACUUCUAAAACACUCCACUUAAGUCAUUU
rnacentral:ncRNA from 1 species